UGUUAAAAAUAUGAAUGUAAAGUAAACGCAUACUAAGGUUUAACUUGUACAGAUUCCAAUGUAAAGUCAUUGCACUAGCACCCCAAAAAUGUGAAAAACUCAAUAUUUCUGUGAACAUCCAACUAACAUUUAGUCAUUUUAACAACUGGAACCUUCAAAAAAUGACAAUGAACAUAACCAAAAGGAAAAGAAAAAGGAAACAUUUUGACGAGUUAGGCUGUAGCUUUAUUGAAAUUUCCCCCUCCUCCAAAAAACUAAAUACACUUACAAAAUAAUUUAAAUGUAUUAAAAAGAAGAAGAAAAAAAAGUUUCAAUAUUUCUUAUCCAUCACAUUUUUGUACCACCUUCAGUCAAAAUUAAUCUGCGUAAGGACUUCCAAAUAUCUAAAUUCAGGAAGCCCACAAUACUCAGACAUCUUACAUCAUAUACCGUUCAAGGGUGAUUAAAUAGCUCUGGUACAGUUUUAUAGAAAACAGUACAGCAAGUACAGUAACUACUUCGAUUUUACAGUCCGAGUAGUUAGAUCCAAAGAAUGAAUCAAAUCCAAUGCUAUUCAUGUUGGUUUAAAAGCUAGCAAUUUUACCACAUGGCUGAAGUACAUUAGCAGCAUGAGGUGUGCUUUAAAGAAACGUCAAUGCACAGAAGCUGGAAACCAGUAACUGUAGUCCAAUUAUCCAUCCAAAAAGUCUGAUGAUUCCCAGCAAAAAAAAAAAA